rnacentral:rRNA from 1 species
CCUACGGGUGGCAGCAGUGAGGAAUAUUGGUCAAUGGCCGGAAGACUGAACCAGCCAAGCCGCGUGAGGGAGGAAGGUGCCAAGUAUCGUAAACUUCUUUUGUCAGGGAACAAAAUCUGGGACGCGAGCCCGAAUGAGGGUACCUGAAGAAAAAGCAUCGGCUAACUCCGUGCCAGCAGCCGCGGUAAUACGGAGGAUGCGAGCGUUAUCCGGAUUUAUUGGGUUUAAGGGGUGCGUAGGCGGACUGUUAAGUCAGCGGGAAAAGCCCGGGGCUCAACCCCGGCGAGCCGUUGAAACUGGCAGUCGUGAGUUGGAGAGAGGUAUGCGGAAUGCGCAGUGUAGCGGUGAAAUGCAUAGAUAUUGCGCAGAACUCCGGUUGCGAAGGCAGCAUGCCGGCGGCAAACUGACGCUGAGGCACGAAAGCGUGGGUAUCGAACAGGAUUAGAUACCCUAGUAGUC